CGUGUAGCCGGGCCGACAAGUCAGAUGUGAAAUCCGCGGGCUUAACCCGCGAACUGCAUUUGAAACUGUUGGUCUUGAGUAUCGGAGAGGUAAUCGGAAUUCCUAGUGUAGCGGUGAAAUGCGUAGAUAUUAGGAAGAACACCAGUGGCGAAGGCGGAUUACUGGACGACAACUGACGGUGAGGCGCGAAAGCGUGGGGAGCAAACAG
rnacentral:rRNA from 1 species